rnacentral:rRNA from 1 species
UACAGAGGUCUCAAGCGUUGUUCGGAUUCAUUGGGCGUAAAGGGUGCGUAGGUGGCGCCGUAAGUCGGGUGUGAAAAUUUUCGGAGCUUAACUCCGAAACUGCAUUCGAUACUGCGGUGCUUGAGGACUGGAGAGGAGACUGGAAUUCCUGGUGUAGCGGUGAAAUGCGCAGAUAUCAGGAGGAACACCAAUGGCGAAGGCAGCUCGCUGGAACGGUACUGACGCUGAGGCGCGAAAAGCGUGGGGAGCGAACAGG